GAUGAACGCUAGCGGCAGGCCUAACACAUGCAAGUCGAGGGAGAAGCCUUUCGGGGCAGAAACCGGCGCACGGGUGCGUAACGCGUAUGCAACCUACCUUUCACAGGGGGAUAGCCCGAAGAAAUUUGGAUUAAUACCCCAUAAUAUUGUUGGAUGGCAUCAUUUGACAAUUAAAACUGAGGUGGUGGAAGAUGGGCAUGCGUCCUAUUAGCUAGUUGGAGUGGUAACGGCACCCCAAGGCUACGAUAGGUAGGGGUCCUGAGAGGGAGAUCCCCCACACUGGUACUGAGACAGGGACCAGACUCCUACGGGAGGCAGCAGUGGGGAAUAUUGGUCAAUGGUCGGAAGACUGAACCAGCCAUGCCGCGUGCAGGAAGAAUGCCUUAUGGGUUGUAAACUGCUUUUAUAUGGGAAGAAUAAAGGUGUACGUGUACA
rnacentral:rRNA from 1 species